UUCCUUGUAUUUAAUGACAGAUAUGUGGCUUUGUGUUUUCCCAUUAUGUUUGUGGGAAUGUUCAGCCCAAAGUUGAGCAUUUGUUUUGUUUUAUUUUUAUGAAAGCUUUGCCCUGCAAAUAGUGGCAGCAUUUUUUCUCAGGGAGAAUCCAUGCAUGCAAAAUUAGAGACAUUGAGACAAAACAGCAAGUUUAAAGAACUGUUGCACAAGUUGAAAAUACAACAUUCACUAAGACGAAAACAAAAAGAGGGAGGACAGAAAUGGGAAAGUAAUGGCAUUAAGUAGCCUAAAGGAGAAAGAACCCAAACAACAAAGAAGAUGGCUAGUGAGUUCUUCAGCCUGGUGCUGGGAAGUUGAGGACAACAGGGGCCCUGCGCCUGCACCUCUGCUUAAGGAAAACCAGUAGAAGAGGCGUUUUUAGAGUCAGCGGCAGAAACACAAACCAGCUGGGCUGCCCUUCUCAAGGUGAGUGCUCUGAGGAGUAGAGCUGGUUGGGCUU